CAGUCGAGCGAACAGACCAGGAGCUUGCUCCUCUGACGUUAGCGGCGGACGGGUGAGUAACACGUGGAUAACCUACCUAUAAGACUGGGAUAACUUCGGGAAACGGGAGCUAAUACCGGAUAAUAUAUUGAACCGCAUGGUUCAAUAGUGAAAGACGGUUUUGCUGUCACUUAUAGAUGGAUCCGCGCCGCAUUAGCUAGUUGGUAAGGUAACGGCUUACCAAGGCAACGAUGCGUAGCCGACCUGAGAGGGUGAUCGGCCACACUGGAACUGAGACACGGUCCAGACUCCUACGGGAGGCAGCAGUAGGGAAUCUUCCGCAAUGGGCGAAAGCCUGACGGAGCAACGCCGCGUGAGUGAUGAAGGUCUUCGGAUCGUAAAACUCUGUUAUUAGGGAAGAACAAAUGUGUAAGUAACUAUGCACGUCUUGACGGUACCUAAUCAGAAAGCCACGGCUAACUACGUGCCAGCAGCCGCGGUAAUACGUAGGUGGCAAGCGUUAUCCGGAAUUAUUGGGCGUAAAGCGCGCGUAGGCGGUUUUUUAAGUCUGAUGUGAAAGCCCACGGCUCAACCGUGGAGGGUCAUUGGAAACUGGAAAACUUGAGUGCAGAAGAGGAAAGUGGAAUUCCAUGUGUAGCGGUGAAAUGCGCAGAGAUAUGGAGGAACACCAGUGGCGAAAGGCGACUUUCUGGUCUGUAACUGACGCUGAUGUGCGAAAGCGUGGGGAUCAACAGGAUUAGAUACCCUGGUAGUCCACGCCGUAACGAUGA
rnacentral:rRNA from 1 species